UACGGAGGGAGCUAGCGUUGUUCGGAAAUACUGGGCGUAAAGCGCACGUAGGCGGCGCAGCAAGUCAGGGGUGAAACUCCCGGGGCUCAACCCCGGAACUGCCUCUGAAACUGCAGUGCUAGAAUCUUGGAGAGGCGAGUGGAAUUCCGAGUGUAGAGGUGAAAUUCGUAGAUAUUCGGAAGAACACCAGUGGCGAAGGCGACUCGCUGGACAAGUAUUGACGCUGAGGUGCGAAAGCGUGGGGAGCAAACAGG
rnacentral:rRNA from 1 species